UUCAAUGAAUUGACGGGGGCCCGCACAAGCGGUGGAGCAUGUGGUUUAAUUCGAUGCAACGCGAAGAACCUUACCUACUCUUGACAUCCAGAGAACUUAGCAGAGAUGCUUUGGUGCCUUCGGGAACUCUGAGACAGGUGCUGCAUGGCUGUCGUCAGCUCGUGUUGUGAAAUGUUGGGUUAAGUCCCGCAACGAGCGCAACCCUUAUCCUUUGUUGCCAGCGGUCCGGCCGGGAACUCAAAGGAGACUGCCAGUGAUAACUGAGGAAGGUGGGGAUGACGUCAAGUCAUCAUGGCCCUUACGAGUAGGGCUACACACGUGCUACAAUGGCGCAUACAAAGAGAAGCGACCUCGCGAGAGCAAGCGGACCUCAUAAAGUGCGUCGUAGUCCGGAUUGGAGUCUGCAACUCGACUCCAUGAAGUCGGAAUCGCUAGUAAUCGUGGAUCAGAAUGCUACGGUGAAUACGUUCCCGGGC
rnacentral:rRNA from 1 species